rnacentral:rRNA from 1 species
UACGUAGGCAGCAAGCGUUGUUCGGAGUUACUGGGCGUAAAGGGUGUGUAGGCGGUUCUUUUAAGUUUGGUGUGAAAUCUCCCGGCUCAACUGGGAGGGUGCGCCGGAAACUGGAGUGCUUGAGCGUGGGAGAGGAAAGCGGAAUUCCUGGUGUAGCGGUGAAAUGCGUAGAUAUCAGGAGGAACACCUGUGGUGUAGACGGCUUUCUGGGCCCUACCUGACGCUGAGACGCGAAAGCGUGGGGAGCGAACCGG